GCUUGAGAAUGAGCUCAGGAGAGUUCUAACACUUCAUACAUUGCGUGAAUCAGAGGCAAAAAAAUUCUGUAAAUACUGUUCAGUUCACAGACCAAUUGUUUGGUGUCUUUUUGUUCUGUAUAUAAAAACAAUACAAUUCUAUGCAACGUCCCCAUUUGGAAAGCUAAGAAAACAUUUGUGUGUUGGUGUGUGGUGUAUGUUUAUAAACUGUGUAAAUGAUUUAUGUAUUUCAUUGUCUAUCAAUAGGCUGUUUUGCACAUUUGAUUAAUAAAAUUCGACUUGUGUAAUACCAAGUGCUGUAGUCUGUAGUCAGUCUACUGGUUUCUUUAUUAGUUCAGUGUAUCUUUAUUGCUUCAGGGUUUUUUUUUUCCACAGUUGUGGGUUAGUUGGCUUCAACUCUGGCCUGCUUCAUAUGUCAAGUUUAUGUAAAGUCACACAUCGUGGAAGACAUCAGCGCAUGGGCCUCUGAUAUCUUAGUCUUCACAACUGUUCAACUUCAUCACUAUUAAGUGUGUUUGCUGCUUUCCUGUUUUUUUAUUCUGUCAUUUCUGCUCAGAUUAGUCUGAACUCUUUUACUGCAUUUCACAGAAUGAAGACGGAGCAACUUGUAGUCUUCUGUAAGUUACUCAGUUUUUAUGAUUUUAUUGACUUUGUCACGAUUGGAUAGUUUAACAAGGUGAAUCUGUUUACAAUCUUCUACAGAAUAAUCUGAAUGAUCUGUGUGUCUUUGUGUAGGUCUGCUGGUGUGUCAAACUACAGAGAGUUUAACUGAUAAACCGGUGAAUUUAGGGGAAAAUAUGACUUUAGACUGUCAGAUUGGUGUAAGAGACAUUUAUUGGGUUUUCCAGAAACUGACAGACUCUCCGCGGCUGAUACUGCGAACUUACACAUCAGAUUCUACAUCAUCUCAAAUACAAGACCAAAGACUGAAAGACAAAUAUUCAUCACUAACUCAGAGCCGUUUAUUUAUUAUUAAUAUAACUAUUCAUGAAUUAGGAAUAUAUUAUUGUGUAAAACCUGAUCCAAAACAACUACAGAUCAGCAAUGGCACCAGACUUUACAUCAAUGAAUCUGCUCAAGAUCAAAAUCAAACAGAAUCUGCUCAAGAUCAAAAUGAACCAGAAGAGAAACAUCAGGAACAGUCAUGUGAGGAAACAUUGGAGAUGCACAUGAUUCUGACUGUUACAUCCAUCCUGAUGAAUUUUGUGCUGAUUAUUGCAAUAACUGGUGAGGUUUCUGAUAUACAUUCACUCUGA
rnacentral:lncRNA from 1 species